rnacentral:rRNA from 1 species
CCCUCAGAAUGGUUGGAAAUCAUUCAUAGAGUGUAAAGGCAUAAGGGAGCUUGACUGCGAGACCUACAAGUCGAGCAGGGUCGAAAGACGGACUUAGUGAUCCGGUGGUUCCGCAUGGAAGGGCCAUCGCUCAACGGAUAAAAGCUACCCCGGGGAUAACAGGCUUAUCUCCCCCAAGAGUUCACAUCGACGGGGAGGUUUGGCACCUCGAUGUCGGCUCAUCGCAUCCUGGGGCUGUAGUCGGUCCCAAGGGUUGGGCUGUUCGCCCAUUAAAGCGGUACGCGAGCUGGGUUCAGAACGUCGUGAGACAGUUCGGUCCCUAUCCGUCGUGGGCGUAGGAAAUUUGAGAGGAGCUGUCCUUAGUACGAGAGGACCGGGAUGGACAUACCUCUGGUGUACCAGUUGUCGUGCCAACGGCAUAGCUGGGUAGCUAUGUGUGGACGGGAUAAGUGCUGAAAGCAUCUAAGCAUGAAGCCCCCCUCAAGAUGAGAUUUCCCAACUUCGGUUAUAAGAUCCCUCAAAGAUGAUGAGGUUAAUAGGUUCGAGGUGGAAGCAUGGUGACAUGUGGAGCUGACGAAUACUAA